AGGGAUGAUCUGGCAGAACCUGGAAUCCACAUGAAUGUCCCUGUGGCUGUGGGGGGGCAGUGGGCAUGGAGAGUGAGGAUGGAGAAGGACUAUUUCUGAGGACCAGUAGGCAGGAUUUGGUAGCAGGUGAGACUAAGAUGCAGGGACGAAGGGAUCUUGGAGGAAGGCUUGCAGUUGUGAAGCUGAAGACUUGAGAAUUUGUGGUGUCCACAGAGGUCCUAGAACAUGGGCGUGGGGAGGGAUGGUUGCGUGAGAAGAGGAAGGGCUACUUCUCACAUGUUUGGUUUUGAUGUGGAGAUGUCCUGAGGCAACAAGAAAUCCUUGCCUGGAGAGAGGCUGAGAGGUCAAGGCAGAAGAAGUCAGCGUGGGCGUCAGGUGUGCGCAGGGACUUCCUCUGCCCCCAGCUUCCUGAUUCUUUAUAACUCUGACCAUCGCAGAGCACAACGUUACAGCGAGACAGGGCGUGAUGGAUCCCCAGCAGCCCAGAGAUACUCAGUGAAGUCACAUACCCGGAGGUGGGGCCAGGUUUGGAAACCAGGUUUUCAAAUGACUAUCUUAGUGCUUUUGCACCCAUCAGCUCUAUCUUAGGAU
rnacentral:lncRNA from 1 species